CCGAUUAUACGCCGCAGACGCAUUUAUGUGUCAUGUCGGUAUGACGCCAUAGACGCAUUUUUGCGUCAACCGCAGUAAUCCGGCUUCUCUCUGCUCUAAAGAAACCAGGGAGCGGCUGCUGCUAUUUUAACGCUACUACUACGUCCAGUUACUGUUCAGAGCUACUAGCAUGGCUAAGAGGCCACACUAGAUCAGUGAGGAGGUGCUGCAUGAAAUUGUAGGCUACCCACUAGCUCUGGGACCUGCACAGAUUGACAUGGAAGACCCAGUGGCCAGAGUACAGCAAGGUAACAGAGAUGUGCCAGUCAUGGAGGGCAGUGAUGAUGAGUUUUCUGAUUGAGAACAGUUUGGAGAGGAGCUUGAAGAUCUGGAUAGGACAUUGACACUGCAUGAGCUGAGCACUGUUGUGAAAGUCCUACCACCAACGUCAACCUUCCUGUACAUGGCAUUGUCUGUGCGCGUGUAUGUGUAGGCGACUCCAAGGUACUCCAAAAGGGACCCAGUGGCAGUGCAUAGUGUGACAGCAAAGUAUCAGCAGUAGCCACAGACAUCAGACACUUUUUAUAUCUAUUGUUAGUUACGCAAAGAAUUAUAAUCGUUACUGAUGGUAAAAAAAAUGUUUUUCAAGG